GUACGAAUUGUGCUGUACAAAUAAACUUGCCUUGCCUUACACUCUGUUUGUCAUUAUUGGUUCCGUGUCUCAUUACUGAUUCUCCUGUAGUUUCAGAUCCCACCUUUCUUCCAUGCCAUCUCCUCACCUGCAGUCCAUUUGCUCAUCAGCCCCUCAGUUUAUAUAUACCGGUCCAUUUCCACUUGGUCCCUGCCAGGUUGUCUUGUGUAGUUUCAGUUUUUUGACUUCUUGUUCUGACCCUGCUUUGCCUGUCGUGGACUUUGGAUACCUGCCUGCCUCUUGUCGGGUUUGUUUGCCUGUUUGAUCUCCUGGGUUUGACCCUUGGACUGAGUAAACUGAUCUUCCCUCUGCCUCAGAGUCGUGCUUUUGGGUUCUUCUUGCCAGUACCAGCAAACCUGACAGAAGAUGUUUUCCUCGUCAGACUCUUCAUGUUCGGCGAGGGAGACAGGUGUGAAAAGGACGAAACCUGUCUGUCUGCUGCUGUGACUUCAUUCAUCACUCAGUUCUUUAUCUCUGUUUGUACUUCUGUUUCAUAUUUUUACUUUUAUAUAGUUUUGUGUUUAUGUCGGCACAGUUAUAGAUUUAACUUCUCUGCAAACACUGAAUAUUUAUCAGGUUUAAAUUCAUUUUAACGUCUGUCUGCUGUGUUAUCAGUUCAUUUCUUUUGUUUGUUUGUUUGUUUGCAUGAUGCUGCUGGAUGCUCGAGGAUCUGACAUAACCAACCACACGGACUGUUCCAGUUUACAAAGGAGGAAACAGGUCUUAGAGAUGAAGAGACUGUUUCCUGUGACGGAAAAUGACUUUUCUCUAUCUCAGCGAGCACAUGUGAAACAGGAGACCGGCUCUGAGAUAAGCUGAGACCGAGCGGCACCUACUGCUGCUGAGAACUCUCUGUGGGAAAUGCACGGUGGUGGCGAAAAGGAUGUCGCAGGGUCAACGAGGGCAGAAAGACUUUGAAGAGGCGGCAAACAGAUCUGCAGACUUUCUGUUUCUGUCAUCUUCUGAUCGCAAGAAAACAGCCAGCAGCCUUAAAACGGCGUCCAACAAGAAGACACAGCAGCUAAUGUUACUAAUCUGUGCGUCUCUUUGUGCAUUUAAAAACAUCAAAUUGAUCAGAAACACACUGUAAAUGAUUAUUGUAGCUGCAAACAGCUGACCUGUGAUGGAAUAUCUACACGUGUGUGCUGUGUUCGCAUGUCGAUCGUUUCAAAUGUCUAACCGCUCAUUAGAAACACUUUGUGCUGAUUUUAAAAUGUCCAGAAACAAAGAAGUUUCUCCUGAAACGUGUCAGAUCUCGAACAAUGCUGUGAACUGUUCACGUCACAGAGCACUGUGUUUAUAUCCUCGAUGUAUUUUGAAGGAAGGCGUCUGUCUUUAUCAGUGAGGCGAACCUCCUCUUGUCGUGUGAAGCGCUGACGUGCUUCAAAAAGUUUCUGAGCUUUGCUUCACAGGUUGUAAUCAAAGCAAAGCUGCUCUGACAGAGAAGCUGAGGCUGCAAAUCAAGUCAGCAUCAUGUUGGGUCACGCAGUCACUGACGUCUACAAAUGAACCGGUUCUUUUAAUUCUUGCAGCUCGGGGGCCCCCUGCUGGCUGCAGGGCCGCUGUUGAAACGUCAACAACCAAGUCCAGUUGUUCCAGGUUUAACCAGAACUGUGUCUCUGUUUGUUUCUGACAUGAUUUAACCACUGGGUGGAGCAGUUGAUGAGGCAGUCUGUGAACUUAAAGUUUCAUUAUUUAUCAAUCAGCUUCUUUAAUUAUCCUUUGAUUAAGUUCUGACCCGCUAUCUACUACUGCCUCAUCCUAUAACUGUGGAUAUUUAUCUUGUUCUGAAUUAUUAGUUUACAUCGAACAGCACAAAUUUUAGCAGAAUAUUAAUGUCCUGUU